GGAGGGGUGGCCGAGUGGCUUAAGGCGGCGCCCUGCUAAGGCGUUGGGCCGAAAGGCCCGCGUGGGUUCGAAUCCCACUCCCUCCG
rnacentral:tRNA from 1 species